GAUGAACGCUGGCGGCGUGCCUAAUACAUGCAAGUCGAGCGAACGGACGAGAAGCUUGCUUCUCUGAUGUUAGCGGCGGACGGGUGAGUAACACGUGGAUAACCUACCUAUAAGACUGGGAUAACUUCGGGAAACCGGAGCUAAUACCGGAUAAUAUUUUGAACCGCAUGGUUCAAAAGUGAAAGACGGUCUUGCUGUCACUUAUAGAUUGAUCCGCGCUGCAUUAGCUAGUUGGUAAGGUAACGGCUUACCAAGGCAACGAUGCAUAGCCGACCUGAGAGGGUGAUCGGCAACACUGGAACUGAGAAACGGUCCAGACUCCUACGGGAGGCAGCAGUAGGGAAUCUUCCGCAAUGGGCGAAAGCCUGACGGAGCAACGCCGCGUGAGUGAUGAAGGUCUUCGGAUCGUAAAACUCUGUUAUUAGGGAAGAACAUAUGUGUAAGUAACUGUGCACAUCUUGACGGUACCUAAUCAGAAAGCCACGGCUAACUACGUG
rnacentral:rRNA from 1 species